rnacentral:piRNA from 1 species
UUCACUUAAAGCUAUUUAAAC